rnacentral:rRNA from 1 species
AUUGAACGCUGGCGGCAGGCCUAACACAUGCAAGUCGAACGAGUGGCGGAAGGGUGAGUAAUGUCUGGGACACUGCCUGAUGGAGGGGGAUAACUACUGGAAACGGUAGCUAAUACCGCAUUACCUCGGAUGUGCCCAGAUGGGAUUAGCUAGUAGGUGGGGUAACGGCUCACCUAGGAGACGAUCCCUAGCUGGUGUGAGAGGAUGACCAGCCACACUGGAACUGAGACACGGUCCAGACUCCUACGGGAGGCAGCAGGGGGGAAUAUUGCACAAUGGGCGAAAGCCGGAUGCAGCCAUGCCGCGUGUAUGAAGAAGGCCUUCGGGUUGUAAAGUACUUUCAGCGGGGAGGCGUUACCCGCAGAAGAAGCACCGGCUAACUCCGUGCCAGCAGCCGCGGUAAUUC